AUUGCAAGUUAUUUAAUUAAUCCUAAGUGCUGUGAGUGAUGUGAGAGUAAGAAGAAAAGAGCCAAUCAAUCACAAACACAAGGUUUUAUAGUGGUUCGGAGCUAACCCUUGCUCCUACGUCCACUCCCCAAGUCUCACUUGAGAAUUUCACUAUAACCCCCUUGGAUUACAGCCGGUUGUUUUGCAAGCUCACAACCAAACUUGUUGUUUUACGAGCUCACAACGAACUCGGUCGGUUUUCCCAGGCUCACCGACUAGAACCAACCCCGAUUGUUUUUUCGGGCUCACAAUCAAACCCUUACACACGUUGGUUUUAUCUUGGCUUACCAACAAACCUUAAUCCCCUUGAUUCAAUCCCCCGAUUGAACCAAGU
rnacentral:lncRNA from 1 species